CCAGUGAAACUCAACAGCUGGUUGUAUUUCCUCACAUUGGUUGCUGUGAACAACUUUCAUGUAAAAAUGUUCACUAGGUAACACAAACUAAACUCAGUUCAUGUCUUUUUGUUUCAGAUGAUAAUAUCUUAAAGCACUGGCACACAACACAAAUCUAUCUGAAUGAUUAAAUCCAUUUUCAUGUAUUAUGUUUCCUGUUUAGCCUUCCUUUCUCUGGUGAAAGUAACCAUGACGACGCUGACUAAUGUCUGGUAUCUCUGGGCUGUGAACUCUUCACUCACCUCCUCUUGCAGGACUCAGAAAGAAUAUAAAUCCAGUUCUAAAAACGCUCACACCUUAAGGCCGUCUAACUGGUGUGACUACUAAUGAAUCCAGACCGACGCUCACAAUAAUGCAGUCCGACUGCUCUGUGUCAUCUGAUCUGAUGUUGUGCAGAAGUUUGAACCCUGUCUGGGAUUGAUGGUUUAUGAUUUCAUGGUGCUCCUCAGCAGCACAGUGAGGAACUCUCUCUCUAAACUGUAAGUGGGAAUACUUGAGUGUGUAUUAAAACUAUUAUUUCACAUGUUAACAGUUCUCCUGCUACCUUAC